UGCGAACGGCUCCGCAAACCAGUUGUAAACCAAAGCAAGCAAGCCUGCGGCUCGGCCCUCACGGGUUGGGCUGUGGGUGAUACGGAUAACCCUGGUAAUCCUGAGGCUAAUACGAGAACGUAAUCCCUGGCUAACUAGGCAACUGGGCGGCUGGGGGGCGUGUGAUCUGCUGUAGGAGGACCAGGAGGGGGUGCACGCUCUGACCGCGACGAAAACAGAACCGAGUGACUGCCUCCUAACGGGGACGGCUCGGCCUGAGCGGCUCUUGCGAAGUGCUUCUGACCUAUCAACUAGAUGGCAGCGUAACGGACAUGCCAUGGUUACAACGGGUACAGAGGAUUAGGGUUCGAUCCUGGAGAGUGGGCCUGAGAGAUUGCUCAUACUUCUAAGGAAGGCAGCAGGCGCGCAAC
rnacentral:rRNA from 1 species